ensembl:lncRNA
CAGCAUUAGCUGCCUUCUCUCCUUGCUCAGCACUGUGCAAUAAUAAAAUUCCUGCUUUCUUCCACUACACCCAGUGUCAGAGAUUGCAAUGGGUGAGCAAACCCACUUCAGGUUCGAUAUCAAUUUGGCGACCCAGAUGGGACAAUGUCCCAAGUAGAUGUCUCGUCUGUGGCACACCGGCCUCUGGCUAAAGGCCUCUCUUGGAAGCAGUCCUACAGCUGCCUGAGCUCCUUGUCUCAGGGACAGCCUGAAGUGACUGGCUGCUAGCCAGAAGUUAUUGGCCUGCAGUACUUUUGCUUUCGUGGUGGAAGAAACUAGGUUCAGGACUUAGGAAGAUGUCUCUUGACACAAUUGGAAACACUGGUUAUAAUACCAAGGCCUUGAUUGGAACAUCAUGUUUGAGAAAAACAUGCAGGUUCAGGUGCAAGAAACCUCAAUAUUUCGGGGAGCCUCACGAAGAGAGGAAAUCACCCAAAUGUGUAGGUACUACAGGCGGACUCUGAUGACAAGUCCUUGGCUUGGCUUUCCUGGCCUUGGGAGGCCUUUAAAGUUCAAUCUGAAACUCCUUAUAAGAGGUUCCAGCAGAGCAGAUUUGAAAGAGCCUAUAUAAUCAAUUACUAUUCUUGCUGUACUUAUGUAAAUAAUUAUGCCAAAUUUAUUAAAACUAGACGUAUUUUGCAAACCAGUUAGUCUUAAUUUGGCUAUGUCUAGUGAAAUCGAGGGUGACUUUAGAGAGAGAAAAAUUAUGUUUCAAUAAAAACUACAAUAUGCGUUUGUGGAUAUUGGAUUUUGGUUCUGUCAAUUGUCUUUAAGAUUUUUGUUACAUCUGUUAAUGGGACUGGAUCCUGAAUUCUUCUAGUCUCCUGAAAUAUCUGGCUAGAAACCUCCAAACUAACAUUUUCAGUUUUCUCCCCAUCAUUUUCAUUCAGAAUCUUUGAAAACUAAACCAGCCUUUUUUUUUCCUGAAGCCUUGCUAAGUGGAAGCUGGAGGACUUAAUAUAAAUGUAAGAGACAGUCACGUCUGCUGCUGGGUAAGCCACUCAGAAAGCUACCUGCGUCCCUGAUGACACCAUCAGAGACAUUGCAAACUGCAAAAGAUGCUUCCACUUUGAUUUCUAGGAAUCUUGAUUGGCUGCCCCCUGGGUUCAGGAACUGGUUUAUAAUUUGCUCCAACCAUUGACCUGUUUUUCUCUUUUUGUUUCUCUAGAAAAACUUCUUGUUAAAUACCUAGUUACUUACUUACAUGAUACAGGCCUAAAUUUGGGAGCCUACCUGCAUCACUGCCUUAUUAAAAGACUGGUUCAGUGAGCUGGAACAACCUAGGCCCCAAUUCAGCAGGAAGUAGCUAGACUGGUUGCUGCCCCAAAUCCCUCAAGAAUGAGAGAUGAACAUAAAAUAGGGGGGAAUUGAUACCGGCCAUAAUAUCAGUUUCCUUACAUUAAACCCAGCAAAUAUGGGGUUAAAACCAACGCACUCACUCCCUGCUUACUCCCUGGCUCCCUGGCUCCAGAAUCCACUAUCCGCCAUGGACACAAAUGGCCAAGGACAACCACCUGGAUUCAUUAUCUCCUCCCCCUCCUCUCUGCAAGUAGUCUCAAGGCCAAACACAGGCUGGUGGAACAGCUCCAACCAGCGAGGCCAUAUGCUCCCCCUCCCCUACCUAAAACCCCAAAUAAAACUCCUUAAUUUUAGCCUUUUGGAGAGUUUGGGAUUUCAGCGUUAGCUGCCCUCUCUCCUUGCUGAGCACUGUGCAAUAAUAAAAUUCCUG